rnacentral:rRNA from 1 species
ACGGGAGGCAGCAGUGGGGGAUAUUGCACAAUGGGGGAAACCCUGAUGCAGCGACGCCGCGUGAGUGAAGAAGUAUUUCGGUAUGUAAAGCUCUAUCAGCAGGAAAGAUAAUGACGGUACCUGACUAAGAAGCACCGGCUAAAUACGUGCCAGCAGCCGCGGUAAUACGUAUGGUGCAAGCGUUAUCCGGAUUUACUGGGUGUAAAGGGAGCGCAGACGGCAUGGCAAGCCAGAUGUGAAAUGCGGGGGCUCAACUCCUGAACUGCAUUUGGAACUGUCAAACUAGAGUAUCGGAGAGGUAAGUGGAAUUCCUAGUGUAGCGGUGAAAUGCGUAGAUAUAAGGAAGAACACCAGUGGCGAAGGCGGAUUGCUGGACAGUAACUGACGGUGAGGCGCGAAAGUGUGGGGAGCAAACAGGAUUAGAUACCCUGGUA